rnacentral:snRNA from 1 species
UGCUAGACCAGGUCUUAAAACG